UACGUCACAAAGGGAUGCGAGGAAAACAACACCAAAGUUAUGCUACUUUUCCUUCACGGAUUUCUUGACUUUUAGUACGCCUGGAAUAGACAGAUACCUGCCCUUGGUGACGAUUUUUGCGUGGUGGCACCUGACUUGCGCGGUUACGGAAAUACUACAAGACCUGAUGACACCGCCCUGUACCUCAUGACGAAUCUAAUUGAAGAUGUUAAAGGAUUGCUUGAAAACCUGAACAAAGAUCACAAGCGGAAAGUUAUUCUCGUUGGUCACGACUGGGGCGGCAUGAUCAGUUUCUGCUUUGCGACGCUCAACGAAACGCUGAUCGAUGGAAUGGUCAUUAUCAAUGGCAUGCACCCAAUGGCCUUUGCUAAGCAGCUCUUUAAAAGCGUUACACAGAUGAGAAUGUC